CGCCACAGUAAUGAUGGUUUCAGCCAAGAAGAUUCUGUGAUCUUCAGACUGUGUGACCUUGGGCAUAUCACUCCACUUCUAUCUCAGCUUCAAAGGAAAA